rnacentral:rRNA from 1 species
UACAGAGGGGGCGAGCGUUAUUCGGAAUUAUUGGGCGUAAAGGGCGCGUAGGCGGCCUUUCAAGUGACGGGUGAAAUCCCUCGGCUUAACCGAGGAACUGCCUGUCAGACUGGAAGGCUUGAGACCGGGAGAGGUGAGUGGAAUUCCCAGUGUAGCGGUGAAAUGCGCAGAUAUCAGGAGGAACACCGGUGGCGAAGGCGCCACUCUGGGCCGGUACUGACGCUGAGGAGCGGAAGCGUGGGUAGCAAACAGG